GGGCUCGUAGCUCAGCGGAUAGAGCGUUCGCCUCCGGAGCGAAAGGUCGUGGGUUCGAAACCCAUCGAGCCCA
rnacentral:tRNA from 1 species